GUCUUGCUUGAUCCUUCUUUGUAAAACACAUUUUAGCUUUUAUUUUCGGAACUUUAUUAACUACAAACUUGGCUAUUCAAACGGACUCUGAUUGAUUGCAAUAACGACAUACUCAGCCUGGGAUUUACUGUUUUUGUGUGGCUCGGCCAAGGCUCGGCUGGUGGUUCUAUGGUUUAGAAAAUGAGCAACUUAAUUAUACACAACAAUGGGCAGCACCUCGAUCGGUUACAGCUCAUGAUCUUAUAUGCACAACAUGUUGGACCCAAGCCCAAGAUACAACACAAAUGCAUCUACUUCAAAUCUUAGCAGAAAAUGUGUGCUUUGCAGUAGAACACUAGAGCCUAGAACACGUUCACAUCAGCUCAUGUCCCUGAGAACUAACACUCAACAUCAUAUUAACAUCAGGAAUAUAAUUGUGGAACGACUAACUCCAUUAGAGGUUACUGCAAAUGACUACAUCUGUGGGGCUUGUCACUCAUUAUUGCAAAGAGAUACCACACCUACUUCACAAGACUCUCCAGAUAUGCCAACCGGUGCCCCGGUAGGUCACCAACAAGUUUGUGUUGGAUGUGGUUGUUCAUUAUUGCGAACUUGAAGUCAUUGUUUGGAUACAGAGAAUAAUCAAGAUAUAUUAAACAUUGUUCGAAAUUGGAUUCAACCCAGAGAGAUUCGUCCUUCAGAUCUUCUUUGCCAUAGAUACUAUCAGAGAGCACGAAUUACUACAGUUGGUGCUUAUUUAAUGAAGCUGAGGACCGGUGAUUCAGAUGACAGAAUAGCUACAUUACUUGGCAUUUCAAGGAGUACUCUUACAAAAUAUGUAAUGAAAGCACGCAGUAUGAUGGAGGAACAUUUCGUACCAGCACAUUUAGGGUUACAACAUAUUAGUAGAGAGGAAGUAGCCCAAAGAAACCUUUAUGUUCCAGUCUCUUUUCGGGAAGCCAGGAAACGAUUUACCACAAAGAAAGGCUAUUG